rnacentral:rRNA from 1 species
GACGAACGCUGGCGGCGUGCUUAACACAUGCAAGUCGAACGGAAAGGCCCCUUCGGGGGUCCUCGAGUGGCGAACGGGUGAGUAACACGUGAGUAACCUGCCCUUGACUUCGGGAUAACUUCAGGAAACUGGGGCUAAUACCGGAUAGGAAUCCUUGCUGCAUGGUGGGGGUUGGAAAGCUUCGGCGGUUUUGGAUGGACUCGCGGCUUAUCAGCUUGUUGGUGGGGUAGUGGCUUACCAAGGCUUUGACGGGUAGCCGGCCUGAGGGGGCGACCGGCCACAUUGGGACUGAGGGACGGCCCAGACUCCUACGGGAGGCAGCAGUGGGGAAUAUUGCACAAUGGGCGGAAGCCUGAUGCAGCAACGCCGCGGGCGGGAGGACGGCCUUCGGGUUGUAAACCGAUUUCAGCAGGGGCGAAGCUUGUGGUGACGGUACCUGCAGAAGAAGCACCGGCUAACUACGUG